rnacentral:rRNA from 1 species
AAUAGAUACCCGGGUAGUCCAUGCCGUAAACGUUGGGCACUAGGUGUGGGGCUCAUUCCACGAGUUCCGUGCCGCAGCAAACGCAUUAAGUGCCCCGCCUGGGGAGUACGGCCGCAAGGCUAAAACUCAAAGGAAUUGACGGGGGCCCGCACAAGCGGCGGAGCAUGCGGAUUAAUUCGAUGCAACGCGAAGAACCUUACCAAGGCUUGACAUGCACGGGAAGCCACCAGAGAUGGUGGUCUCUUUGGACACUCGUGCACAGGUGGUGCAUGGUUGUCGUCAGCUCGUGUCGUGAGAUGUUGGGUUAAGUCCCGCAACGAGCGCAACCCUCGUCCCAUGUUGCCAGCGGGUUAUGCCGGGGACUCAUGGGAGACUGCCGGGGUCAACUCGGAGGAAGGUGGGAUGACGUCAAAUCAUCAUGCCCCUUAUGUCUUGGGCUUCACGCAUGCUACAAUGGCCGGUACAAAGGGCUGCGAUACCGUAAGGUGGAGCGAAUCCCAAAAAGCCGGUCUCAGUUCGGAUUGGGGU